rnacentral:rRNA from 1 species
UGGGGAAUAUUGGGCAAUGGGCGCAAGCCUGACCCAGCAACGCCGCGUGAAGGAAGAAGGCUUUCGGGUUGUAAACUUCUUUUAAGUGGGAAGAGUAGAAGACGGUACCACUUGAAUAAGCCACGGCUAACUACGUGCCAGCAGCCGCGGUAAUACGUAGGUGGCAAGCGUUGUCCGGAUUUACUGGGUGUAAAGGGCGUGCAGCCGGGCAUGCAAGUCAGAUGUGAAAUCUCAGGGCUUAACCCUGAAACUGCAUUUGAAACUGUAUGUCUUGAGUGCCGGAGAGGUAAUCGGAAUUCCUUGUGUAGCGGUGAAAUGCGUAGAUAUAAGGAAGAACACCAGUGGCGAAGGCGGAUUACUGGACGGUAACUGACGGUGAGGCGCGAAAGCGUGGGGAGCGAACAGGAUUAGAUACCCUGGUAGUCCACGCUGUAAACGAUGGAUACUAGGUGUGCGGGGACUGACCCCCUGCGUGCCGCAGUUAACACAAUAAGUAUCCCACCUGGGGAGUACGAUCGCAAGGUUGAAACUCAAAGGAAUUGACGGGGGCCCGCACAAGCGGUGGAUUAUGUGGUUUAAUUCGAAGCAACGCGAAGAACCUUACCAGGUCUUGACAUCCUGCUAACGAAGUAGAGAUACAUUAGGUGCCCUUCGGGGAAAGCAGAGACAGGUGGUGCAUGGUUGUCGUCAGCUCGUGUCGUGAGAUGUUGGGUUAAGUCCCGCAACGAGCGCAACCCCUAUUGUUAGUUGCUACGCAAGAGCACUCUAGCGAGACUGCCGUUGACAAAACGGAGGAAGGUGGGGACGACGUCAAAUCAUCAUGCCCCUUAUGACCUGGGCUACACACGUAAUACAAUGGCGGUCAACAAAGGGAUGCAAAGCCGCGAGGCAGAGCGAACCCCAAAAAGCCGUCCCAGUUCGGAUCGCAGGCUGCAACCCGCCUGCGUGAAGUCGGAAUCGCUAGUAAUCGUGGGUCAGCAUACCACGGUGAAUACGUUCCC